UCUGCACCCAAGGGCACAGGGAACUGGACAGAGCUCACAGGGAUGUGGGGCUGAGCUGUGGAGGGGCUUUUUAAGAGUCUCAGGGAAUUAGAGAAUUCCCCUCACCUUAAUUCAAAAUUAGCCAGAGAGAUCAGAGCAGAGCAGCCCUCAGAGAUUGCACUCACAGACAUCACCCUGGUGGCAAGCAGAGUUCUUUUUGUUCAUCCAGUGCUUCUGCUCAAAGAGAAAAUUCAGGUGCUAACACUUUUGGGACCUCUUUGCAGAAGCUGAGCUGAUGGCAUCAGGCUUGUGCCACAUGCUGGAAAAAGGCAGGAAACUGCACUUAGCCCUGAGCCUUGUGGGUUGCUGAUUCAGAGGAGAAACAGGUUCUGGGCAGUGGCACUACAUGCUCCUUUAUGAAGAGCUCUCUCUAGUCCUCAUUCCUCACAAAACAUUACGAGGCAGGGAUGAUGUGGACAGAUUUUGGAGGUUUUUAUCUGCUCCAGACCCUUUGUGAG